UAGGGAAUCUUCCGCAAUGGACGAAAGUCUGACGGAGCAACGCCGCGUGAGUGAAGAAGGAUUUCGGUUCGUAAAACUCUGUUGUUAGGGAAGAAAAAAUGUAUAGUAACUAUAUACAAAAGAGACGGUACCUAACCAGAAAGCCACGGCUAACUACGUGCCAGCAGCCGCGGUAAUACGUAGGUGGCAAGCGUUGUCCGGAUUUAUUGGGCGUAAAGCGAGCGCAGGCGGUUAGAAAAGUCUGAAGUGAAAGGCAGUGGCUCAACCAUUGUAGGCUUUGGAAACUGUUUAACUUGAGUGCAGAAGGGGAGAGUGGAAUUCCAUGUGUAGCGGUGAAAUGCGUAGAUAUAUGGAGGAACACCGGUGGCGAAAGCGGCUCUCUGGUCUGUAACUGACGCUGAGGCUCGAAAGCGUGGGGAGCGAACAGG
rnacentral:rRNA from 1 species